GUGGGGAUAGCUCAGUGGUAGAGUGUGUGCUAAGCACACGUGAGGUCCUGGGUUCAAUCCCCAGUACCUCCA
rfam:Camelus ferus unplaced genomic scaffold scaffold816, whole genome shotgun sequence.